GAUGAACGCUGGCGGCGUGCCUAAUACAUGCAAGUCGAGCGAACAGACGAGGAGCUUGCUCCUCUGACGUUAGCGGCGGACGGGUGAGUAACACGUGGAUAACCUACCUAUAAGACUGGGAUAACUUCGGGAAACCGGAGCUAAUACCGGAUAAUAUAUUGAACCGCAUGGUUCAAUAGUGAAAGACGGUUUUGCUGUCACUUAUAGAUGGAUCCGCGCCGCAUUAGCUAGUUGGUAAGGUAACGGCUUACCAAGGCAACGAUGCGUAGCCGACCUGAGAGGGUGAUCGGCCACACUGGAACUUAGGCACGGUCCAGACUCCUACGGGAGGCAGCAGUAGGGAAUCUUCCGCAAUGGGCGAAAGCCUGACGGAGCAACGCCGCGUGAGUGAUGAAGGUCUUCGGAUCGUAAAACUCUGUUAUGAGGGAAGAACAAAUGUGUAAGUAACUAUGCACGUCUUGACGGUACCUAAUCAGAAAGCCACGGCUAACUACGUG
rnacentral:rRNA from 1 species